rnacentral:lncRNA from 1 species
CGAGAAUAGGCAACUUAACUUUUACACAUUAGCAAACAUCAUCUAUAUUACAAGGUAGAUGGAGAAAAAAUAAACAACAAUAAUGUUCAAUGAGAAAUCAUUUAUACUAAAAAAGUGUGAUUUUCUGUCCACAUUCCGGACCAGGAAAAAAUCACUAGAUGAUCAAAUGGAGGAAAGUCCCUUUGCUACUGCCUCGUGAUGUGUGCCCAAAUGUCUUGGGUUAUUAGCUCUGUUAUCUCUCUUCUUGCUCUGCAUCGAUAACCAAUUGAAACCCGAUGGAUCGAUAGAAGGGUGUUUAGCAAAUACUUAUCCUUGGCCAAUUUGAUGGACGGCGCUACGCCUUUUCCCAAUAUUAAUAUAAGGCCAUGACAUAAUCCGAGGAUGGUUUAUAUUACUUCACAGAUGCUUCCAAGUCCUUAGCACACUUCCCCAAAGCCUUAUAUCAUUCUACUGCCUCCUCUGGUGCUUGGGCCAAAACAGAUUGUAGGUUAUCGUUUUUUGUCUCUUGCUCACAAGUUUGGGCCUAUAAAGCUUUUGGAUUUCCUUGCUAAGGCAAAUAUAUAAGAAGUAUAACACAUUUUUUCAUGCAUUAGGAUUUAGAAGUGAGGUGAAAUUCAUUAAAAAUUGAGACAGAAUGGAUGGAUGGGGAAUUGAAGACCACCAUCCAUAGUGUCUUUAUACGUAACAACCAUGUGGGGGUUGGACCCAAUACAUCUCUCUUUGUGCCUAAGGACUCCAUAAACAUAAUUGUCAACACGGUUGAAUUUGCUAAGUGAUUUUUCCAAUUUGAUUGGGGAGUUGUUAAUGCUAUAGCAUUUUGAAAUAUCAAGAACAACCACCUCGCUAGUCACAUCCUGUCAAAUUUCUAGAUUUCGAUUAAAAGAUUUAGUUGAGUCAAUAUGCUUUUUGGGAGAAUUUCGUUGAAAGAUAUGAAGUUAAGUAAAAUGGGUCGAGCUAUUGGAGUCACAGAGAGAUCAAUCGACCCCACCUGAGGCCAGUCGGACUAUUGGUCGACAGUCGUUGACCAUCGCUGGUCGUUGGUCGACGAUCGACUAGCAAUGUUUUAGUGGGCAUCUACCAACCCAUCCGACGAUGGGUUGGUCGACUUGUUCAACCCCUCAUUUCCACUUUUGUUGGAG